AUGCUGAAUUGGGAGCACAUACACUAAAACUGGACCAAUUUGGAGAAAAUCAGCAUGGCCCCUGCUCAGGAUGACAUGCAUAUUGGUGAAGUAUUCCACGUGUUA